UGAUUGAGGGCGGGGUGUCUUCAAAAGCUAAAAAAAAGAAAAAAAAGAAAAAAAAAAUCUUGCUGCUCUGAAUAAUCUCGGUGUUUGCAGUUGCUUUUCAGGGAAAAUUGGGUGGAUGUUGAAAGCCUUGGAUUGCAUGGGGAGCUCCUAAUAGCUGUUUUCCUUGAAAAUCUGUCAGGACAUGGUGUCUCUGACAGAAAAUAGCUUGCGUCUCCCAACAGGCAGGGGGAUAAUAACUGAAUUGCCAUGUUCCGGCCGAACGGGCGCCUUUAGUAAUGGCAUUCGUCAUCACCUGCUGCGGAACUGAUAACGUCAUCAAUUACCAACUCAUUUCUUAAGAGGAGAUGGACUGUGUUGCAUGCUGAUGAAAGUGUGGAGCUUUGGUGUGGAGCAGAGGGUGUGUGUCCUUGCGCUUCCGCCGUGUGCACGCAAAAGCAUCGAAAUACGCUGUGUGUGUGUGUGUGUGUCUUUGGAGGGGCCAAUCAAACCAUUGAUUUGUACGAGUUGUGACAAAGACAGAUGAGAAAGACAGUGAGCGGCCUCGGCUCUCAAGAUUUGGACUUUGGAUCUCUGCUGUUUUCGGAAGAGAUUUGUUUAUGCUCAGAAAUAUUGAUCAGGCUGUCGGAGGCUCUAAGAAUAACAAAUGUGGAAUCUUAAAUCAAUUGUUUUUGCUUGUCUUAGCGGGGAAAACUAGAAAAGACAACCUGCGCUGCUUUCCUCAGGCCGUGCGGUAUGAAACGCUGCCAAGGAUUGUAAGAAACGGCUCAAGAACAUUAUUGCUACAUCCAUGAAUAAUACAGAGCAUUAGCUAGCCGACACGACAGGCCAAUUUUAUUCUUAUUAAAAAUUCACAUUUUUGAGAGAAGGUCGUGUGUAUGUUGAGACGUAAUUCCAUUUGAGACUGACCGACACCGUGCAACGGGUCCCGGAAUGUUGCUGAAAUUCAUUUACAGACGGACGAAAUUAUAUCAGGAGUUUGAAACACACACAACGGCACGAGCAUCAGCACACGGACAGACCCUUCAGCUGUACGCGGGGCAAAGCACUCUCAUGAGAGCACAAGUGCACUUAAAACAGCUUACAGGAAACGGAUAUCGAACCAUUCACUCGACGAUGCAAUUAAUCAGGUGCAUCUGGAUGUUCAGAGCGGAUCUCUAUCUUCACUACCACUAUCAAGGACCCAUGCUGUUCCCAUGACCCCCAAAUGGAUGAUUGCUGCAAAUGCUAGAGGCCAACAGCACCACCUGGAUGCCACCUGUUAUUCUGUGUGUGUGUAGGAGGCCGGUAGGAGUGAGUUAUUAUGAAGGGCACCAUCAUCGGGACCCCCUCUUGACACCUGCGCCCUCUAAAGCCACUGAGGGGAAUUGGAUGAACUGUCAUUGAAUCCGGAACCCGUUCAUGAAUUCAAAUUACUUAUUUCAAGAUUAAAACACCUCACCUUGGAGGCAGAGGUGAACGUGUAUCCACGCAGCACUCACACAAACGCAGUCUAACUUUAAACCUCACAGAUUCCUCGACAUCAAAGCGAUUCCUCCUCGUCGCAUUCAAAUGAUGACAAUACAUCUACUUACCAUCCCUCG